UCGUUUUAUCUUGUUAACGGUUGACUAACUUCUGUUAGAGUCAAUGUAGAUUUAGGCACGUUUUAAGAAGUUCGGGUAGUUUUUUUGAAUUAUAAUUGAGUUGAGGUCGUAUUUGGCACUGAUCAAUUGUUCGGGUCGUAUUUGGCACGACUGAAAUAGUUUGGGUCGAAAUUGGCACUUUUCCCGAUGGAUGGAUGGCUGUAAAAGUGAAGGAACUUCUUUUGAGAUGAGAAUAUGUUCUCAACCUUUGCAUGUAUGUGGACUGGAGGAUUCAAUUAUAUAUUUAGUAAUUUACAAGUCUAAUAAAUUGCAGUAUUUAAUGUAUGGUAGAUAAAUAAAUUUCGUAAAAUAUUCAGGCCUCUAUUUUAUAUACUACCAAAUUAUAUUCUUCAGCUUUUUUAUUUUAUUUUUCUACUUGUGAAUAUGAUUAAUCUGCAAGUUGUCCAAAAAUACUGAUUUUAUUCAACAAGAUAUUCCACUAUUUAAAGUAUAUGUUCAAAAUCCCACUAUAUAAAAGGAGCUAAUUUAGAGUUCAUCUAAGGAUUCCACGUAACACAAAAUAUUCCCAGCCAAUCAGUUGAACACGUCAUCAUGGUUUUGUCGAGUAUAUUUUCUCAUACAUUUGGGCCUGGUUUUAUUUCUACAAACCCAAACCCCUACCUAAUAUUUAACCAGUAUAUCGUUACCAAUUCUUGACCCAUCGACUUCUUCUUCCUUCUCGGCCGAUUCACCCGCUUAUGGUCUCAUCACUACCACUAUCACUCAUAAAUCAGUCAUAAACACAUAAAGAUCCAAUCAUUAUUGCAGUAAAAUAAAGCCAAUCAACUCUUCCAAUUCCCACAUCUAAAAACUAUAUAUAUGGCUCUCUUUACGGUGCUCUUAUUCACUGAGAAGCUACCUUCAUCAGUUUGUAACUCUUGCCUAAUCCUUCUUCGUUAGGCAACGCUCUCAUACAUUUAUCCUUUUGCCCUCUUUAUUUAGUCUACAAUCUUCGUCAAGUUCGAUCUAUUUAGGUGAUUAUUUCGUGUCCGAAGAGAGCAGUCCGUAGCAAAGCGGCGGCUGCAUGGGAUCCAAACCUACCAAAAAGGCCAGUCAGCGCCUUCUUCAUUUUCAAGUAAUCAUCUCCUACCGAUUCAAUUUUCUGUGUUUAGUAGUUUCCAUGUGUUAAACUUAUUUCUGUACAAAAGUUCAUCAUCUGGGUACUGUGAAAUCUAUUACAGGUUAGAUGGGUAGAAUCCUUUGUCUGUUAUUGUGAUGUCAAAAGUAUCUGUCUGUUAAUUUUAUAAAUGUUUUGUUUCAUUGUGUAUAAUCAAGUGCAGGAGUAGGAUUGUGAGUAGAACUUGAAGUUUGUAUAAUUAGUAUAGAUGGCUGCAAAGUAUCUGUCUGUUAAUCUUAUAAAUUUUUGUGGGGCUGAUUAGUGGAGGGCUGAACAGAGUGCAAGAGCAAAAGAUUACACGUUACACAAAGCUCUUGAAGUAAAGACAUUGUGGCUGAGAGAGAUCAGAGAAAUUCGGAGUAUUUAACAGAGAAAAAGAAACAAGAAACAUGGAGCCGAAUAAUAGACGGUUACAGUGACAGGAAAAGCAAAAGACUACCAACUUUUCAAAACGGUGAAGUGAUGACAAUGAGCAAGGACACGGCAGAUUAUGGAAAAUAAAUGAAGGUAGAAGGGGAAAACGAGCUGCUCAUUACGCCGGAGUGGCUACUGAAAAACGGGAAUGUGGUUGGUCAGACAGUGCAAGGGAUUAACACAACUGCAUGAACGGUAGAAGGUGCAGUGGUAAGAAUGUGCCGUUGAUUUACAAAAUACAGCAGCGCCUUCUGUUACGGUGGUUGGAUAUACAGACAGCCAGAAAGAGAAAGCUCAACACAAAUACCAAGAAAUGCACCAGGUACAGCACAACUUAAGCCGAGGAUUUUAGCUUAUUCAAGUAUCAUAAUAGUGUCAUGUGUUUCUCAAACAAAUAUUUUGGAUUUGUUGAGGGAGGCGAGGAAGAGAAGCGACCCGGGUUUGUCAUAUAAAGACAUGCUAUGGUUCGUAUGUAAGAUUGUAAGAGAAAUAUGAAGUAAAGAAAAUGUGUUUGGUUAGUUUACAAAAAAAAAAUGUUUGGAUAUGGAACAAAAGGGCUGGUCGGAGAGCUGCGUGGGAAUAACAUGAGACUGUGCUUCAGAAUAUUUCUCUGCUAAAUUAAAACUGUUCUCUUUUAAAAAUAUGUUCCAAGUAUGUAUUGGUUGGUGUAUCGAUGUAACUUCUUCAAAUAUCUUUUGAUUGCAAUUAAAUAAGAGAAAAUGCUCGAAAUUUUACUAAACUAAACAAUAGUAAUAAAUAAUAAAAUUUAAAAAAUAAAUAAAAAAUAUUAUCUCAUAUCGAUAUACAAAGAAGAGAAAGAAAAGAAAAAUACCAAAACACUAAAGAUCAUAAAUUAAACUAAAAAGAAACAUAACACAUAAAUGUAUACAUAUCUUAUAUUACUUCAAUAUAAUUGGUUUUUGGGAAAUGGUUUAAACCCAGAUCUAUUAAACACACAGACUAAAAAGAAAUAUUACGUCAAUAUUUUAGUUAACAAACAAUAAUUCCAUUACACUAAAUAAAUUAUUAUUUAUUACAAAAGCAACAAUAUUUGUUAUAGCAUAAAUUAUUUAACAAAAUAAUUAAAUUUUAAACAUCAAAGGAAUUAAACAAAAUAAAAUCUGACGUCAAAAAAAAAAAAAACAAAAUAAAAUCUAAAAAAAAAAAUUAAAGAAUAUGAAUUUUUAAGACUUCUUAAUAUAUUAUGCAUAUUAUAAAUAGUUUUAUAUAAAUGAUAAGAAAUAGAUGCUAAUGUCGUGUUCAUAUAUAACUCGGAUAGCCCAAACAACCACAAUACUCCAAACGAAAAUAAAUAUAUCCAAAAUACUUCAUGCAUAUUCUGGAUCCAAACUUACAAUCAAUUGUUACAUAUAGCUACUUCCAAUAUAUAUUUAGUAGGUUAUAAUAUCAAAUAAAUUUAGUGUUUAGUUACUUAAAUUUCAGAAACAAAAGUAUUUACACAUCAUACAAAGAAGAGAUAUACCACAAAAAAAAUAAUCAAAAAUUACUAUGAACUUUCUUUUUUUUUGGAUAAAUAAAUAUUAUGCUCUUUAUUAUCCAAUCAAUAUUUGUCAAGAAAGAAUUUAGAAAACAAUUUACCAAAUGCUAAUGUUCUCCAACUGCUCUCAUAUAGAACUAUUAGUAGAGCAUUUACAUUUAUUUAUGAACUUUCUUUUAAACAUGCAUACACAUUAGAUAAAAUAGAAGAAAAAAUAAACAAUUUUGUAAUCUAAAACUAUAUUUUAUAUCAAAUUUAGUAUGUUUUUCUAUAGGGAAUGACCAAAUGAAAAAUUUUAAACAAUUUCAAAAUAUCAGAUAGAAAAAGUAUUUUUGAGAAAAACUUAUUUUUGAGAAAAACACUAACCCAAACAUAUAUAAAUUAUAAAGGUGAAGUGAAAAUAAGAGGGUGAUUGAUUGGGCUGUAGAUACUCUUUUAGCUUUAAAUUUUAUCUACAAUAUUUAAAUUACAAUCAUGAUUUAAUUUAAAUUUUAAAGCUACAACAAAAGUAAUAAAAAUGGUUGUAAAAAAAACAAAAAAAACUCGUAUUUUCUAAAGCAAGAUUUUCUGUGCUACAGAAAAACAUUAUGACUGUAGAAAUAUAUUUACAGUUACAGCAGAUACAUCUUUAUAAAUUAUUUUACAGAUUAAUCACAUAUUUCAAAACUACAUCCUAACCAAUCACAUUACCGAGUUUUAUUCUUACUAAUUAACUUUUUAACAAACACAUGAAAUUUAUUACUCUCCUUAACCCCGUGAACAAUAUUUCAAUUCACCUAUACAUAUGUUCUUACAAGAUAAAUCACAUUGACCUACUUAGAAAAAAAGACAAACACCAAAUACUAUAGAAGCCAAAUAACAAAUUCACAACAAAAAAAUGAUAGAAAAAACCAAUUUAUUUACUUUACUAUUUUAGAAAUUUUAGUUUAUUGGCUAUAAAUUAAUGUAAUUUUUUUACAAACACAAAUAGAAUAAUUGAGAUAACUUUAUAAUGUAUAAUCCGCGCGCAGCGCGGAAAAAGAAUCUAGUGUUUAUAAUAAGUUAAUUUCUUCAUAGUUAAGUUUGUCUACUUUACAUGUUUCAAUGUAAUUUCAUCCGUUGCAGUGUUUAAUGUAGGUAUUGGCUACUGCUACAUGUAUGAUGCUCGGUUUAGGUUAAAAAGUUUAUACUGUUUUCCAAAAUUUAUUAGUAAAGCAAGUAACGUAGAACCAAUACAUAUGUCAACGUUUUUUUUUUUGACAACAAAUAUGUCAACGUUAUUAAAACUCUUACAAAGAACAUUGAGAAACUUUGUUAGAAACCCUUGUGCAGGUUAUGCUUUUGUGAUUGGCUCUACUUUAUUAGUAUUGUAUUUAUGAGAUUAUACAAUGAGGGUUUGAUUGGUUGAAGCUGUAAAUUUAUGUUUUUUUAUCUAAGAUUUAGGUUUUAGAUUUUUAGCUUUGGUUUUAAUUUGUUUUGUUGUAGAGAUUUUUUUAGACCACUGAAUAAAAACUCUGAGAAAGUGUUUUUUUAAAGCUAACAUAUAAAAAUAAAAUAUGAUGUUUUCUAGUUUUUAUAAUGUUUUGGGUCUAGAUUCAAUUUUAAAAAUAAAAAUAUGAUUGUUUCAAAAAAGACUGUAGAAAUUAAAAUGGCUUUCCACAGCUUCUACAAAACAACCCCUGAAAUAUUUAUACCACUGGAGAAAACCAAUCAACUAGUUUUUAUAAUGUUUUGGCUCUAGAUUCAAUUUUUAAAAAAUAAAAAUAUGAAUUGUUUCAAAAAAGACUAGAGAAAUUAAAAUGGCUUUCCACAGCUUCUACGAAACAACCCCUGAAAUAUCUACGCCACUGGAGAAAACCAAUCAAGUAAAGUCAUAAACAAUGUCUUAUAAGUAAAAUCAUUAGAACAGUGAUCCACUUUCCAGUUAAAAAAAAACAGUGAUCCACUCU